rnacentral:rRNA from 1 species
CCUACGGGAGGCAGCAGUGGGGAAUAUUGGACAAUGGGCGAAAGCCUGAUCCAGCCAUGCCGCGUGUGUGAAGAAGGUCUUCGGAUUGUAAAGCACUUUAAGUUGGGAGGAAGGGCAGUAAGCGAAUACCUUGCUGUUUUGACGUUACCGACAGAAUAAGCACCGGCUAACUCUGUGCCAGCAGCCGCGGUAAUACAGAGGGUGCAAGCGUUAAUCGGAAUUACUGGGCGUAAAGCGCGCGUAGGUGGUUUGUUAAGUUGAAUGUGAAAUCCCCGGGCUCAACCUGGGAACUGCAUCCAAAAACUGGCAAGCUAGAGUAGGGCAGAGGGUGGUGGAAUUUCCUGUGUAGCGGUGAAAUGCGUAGAUAUAGGAAGGAACACCAGUGGCGAAGGCGACCACCUGGGCUCAUACUGACACUGAGGUGCGAAAAGCGUGGGGAGCAAACAGGAUUAGAUACCCUGGUAGUCCACGCCGUAAACGAUGUCAACUAGCCGUUGGAAGCCUUGAGCUUUUAGUGGCGCAGCUAACGCAUUAAGUUGACCGCCUGGGGAGUAACGGGCCGNAAGGUUAAAACGUCGAAAGGAAAUU